UACGGAGGGUGCAAGCGUUAUCCGGAAUCACUGGGUUUAAAGGGUGCGUAGGCGGUUUGAUAAGUCAGUUGUGAAAUUCCCCGGCUUAACCGGCGGGACUGCGAUUGAUACUGCCAGACUUGAAUUAGGUUGAGGUAGGCGGAAUGUGGCAUGUAGCGGUGAAAUGCAUAGAUAUGCCAUAGAACACCGAUUGCGAAGGCAGCUUGCUGGACCUUAAUUGACGCUGAGGCACGAAAGCGUGGGGAGCAAACAGG
rnacentral:rRNA from 1 species